rnacentral:lncRNA from 1 species
AUCACUCUUGCUGCUUGAUCAAGGUACCACUCUUUUGCCUUUCCCACUAAGGAGUGUGGGAACAUCCUCUUGAAUAGUGCCUCUUCACCCGCUUUGUCUAUUCCUGUAGAACCCGCAAUCUCAUAAAAUUUGAUGAGAUGGGUGUACGGAUCUUCAUGAUCCAUUCCGGUGAAUGGAUUUGCGUAGAGAAGUUGGAGGAUUCCGGUCUUCAUCUCCGUAUUUCUUCCUC